GACGAACGCUGGCGGCGUGCUUAACGCAUGCAAGUCGAACGGAAAGGCCCUGCUUUUGUGGGGUGCUCGAGUGGCGAACGGGUGAGUAACACGUGAGUAACCUGCCCUUGACUUUGGGAUAACGUCAGGAAACUGGGGCUAAUACCGGAUAGGAGCUCCUGCUGCAUGGUGGGGGUUGGAAAGUUUCGGCGGUUGGGGAUGGACUCGCGGCUUAUCAGCUUGUUGGUGGGGUAGUGGCUUACCAAGGCUUUGACGGGUAGCCGGCCUGGGAGGGUGACCGGCCACAUUGGGACUGAGAUACGGCCCAGACUCCUACGGGAGGCAGCAGUGGGGAAUAUUGCACAAUGGGCGGAAGCCUGAUGCAGCAACGCCGCGUGCGGGAUGACGGCCUUCGGGUUGUAAACCGCUUUCGCCUGUGACGAAGCGUGAGUGACGGUAAUGGGUAAAGAAGCACCGGCUAACUACGUG
rnacentral:rRNA from 1 species